GCUGGCGUAGCUCAGUUGGUAGAGCAGCUGACUUGUAAUCAGCAGGUCAGGAGUUCAAGUCUCCUCGCCAGCU
rnacentral:tRNA from 1 species